GGUGCAUUUGCUUGAUGAUUACAAGGAGAUGUGGGGGAAUAAGAGUGAGUGGUAUAAUGAGACGGCGGUGCUCGGUGGCGGGAAGCCGGUUGAGUUUGAUGGGUACAUGAGGGUGGCGGUGGAUACCGAGGUGCUUUUUAGGGCGAAGACCCAAGUGGAGACGUUUAAUAACUUGACGAGGGAUUGCAAGAAUGGAAUCAAUACUUGCUGAUGAUGGCUUGUGUGGAGUGCUGCACUUGGAUUGUUGAUGAGGUAUUUGUUGGAUAUACAUUUAGAUUUGAAGGACUGCGAAAUUUCAUUAUCUACUUGUUUUUGUCUUCAUGCCUUCAAAGUGUAUCAGUUGAUCAUUCACUAGAUCAGUC
rnacentral:misc_RNA from 1 species